GUCUCUCCAAAUACGCGUGUCUGUGUGUGCAUGCAUGUCCCUGGGUGUGUGUGCUUAUGUGUCUGGGUUCACACAUAUGCCUGCAUGUUUCUGCGUGUGUGUGAGUGAUUGUGAGAGUGUGUGUCCAUGUGUGCCCAACAACGCCCCUGCCGACAGUCGCCUAGGUGCAGCCCCACCGCCCUGUGUCUGGGGCGUGCUGCUCCACUCCUUUGCCUUCUGAACCCUCUCUGCUGGGCUUCCAGUUCCUCAGCAUCUGUGAACUCCAGCUUCUUUCUCUGGCUGCCCAGCUCUACCCUGACUUGCCUGGGUCCCACACCCAAAAAGCCCAGAGCAGCCAGUGGGUGCCUGGCCACAGGAAGGAGUCCAGAGAGCUGCUCAGCCCCAGAAGGAGCUUCGUCCUCCCUCCGCUGACCAGCCUGGGCCUCCCCCCACCCCAGAAAGAAGGGGUGAUUAGGAGCAUGUGUGGAGGCAUUUCCCAGCACCUCCCACCCGAUUCUCCGGCCUUCGGGGACUCUCAUCUAGGACUUUGUUUUGGAUGACCUGAGAGUCCCAGGGGCUUGGCAUGAGGGGAGACGGGGCCCGGGCAUCUCUGCGGCUGCUGAGUGAGCCUCUGGAACUGGGUUUUCGUGAUAACAGCAGCUUCUUUUGAUGGAUCUGCCCACUCCAGGCUGUUCCCAUGAGGCUGCAAAUCUCAGGACUUGUCCCAAACACAGAAGGGAAUGCAUAACCCAGGCCUGGCCAACCGUGGUACCCCUGCCUCCCCAACGUGAUCAUUGGCCCAGGUUGGGGACAUGACCGAAGCGAGACUAGUGACAGUCCUUCCCUGGACAUCUGUAUAUGGAGGUGAGAGAGGGAAAAAUCUCUCUUUUCUCUGAGGUCCCUGAGAUGAGGUGACAAAUGCCUCAGCCCGCGUGUGAGCCCGUGUUUCUCCUGCUCUUCAUGAAGACGCCCACGGACCUUAGGGAACUGCCAGGGGCUGGGCAACUGUCCAGAGAGAGAGGCUGUGGAGGGAGAGGGGAUCCUGUUAUAUGAGCCAACAAAUCCCUCUGGCUGGAGCCACCUUGUCUCAGGCUGCUGUCUCUCACAACCAGAGGAGCCCUGGGCAAUACCUGCCUGGAACCGCACAGCUGGGUUUCCCGGGAGCACCUUUGCCUGGUGCUCGACAUGCCUCAUCGUUCCUCCCUGACCUUCUCAGAUCCUGCACAGAGGCUGUGGACACCCUCUUCCACUCUUCUCAAGCUCCUAAACCCACGUCUGCUUCCUCAACUGCCACCUAUUUCAGUGGGAAUGUUUAACUUCCUUAACUCAUUCCUUUCUGGCUCCAAUCUCCUCCAUUGCUGCUUCCCCAUUCUGUCCUUCUCCUGCCCAGGUUCAGUGAAGCAGUGGCCUCCUCUGGCCCUGGCUCAAGGCCAACCAAGAGAGCAGGGAUUGGAGGGCUCAAAGCCGGUGGUUCACAAACCUGCCUACACUUUGAGAAUCACUGGGAAUCUCUGGGGAUUUACAGUCUCCUAGGCAGCAUCUCUGCAUGCAGGCUCUGGAACUGGCACAGAUCAAAUGAUUCCAUGAUGACAAACCACCUGUCUCAACUGACCAGAUUCCUCUGGCAAACACUCCGCUGACCUUGGGCAGCUCCCUCUGCUCCCACCUCCUCGGGUCCUUGUGCUGCUUGUGGCCUUAUGGAGUAGGCUGGACAUCAAUGAUAACACUAACAGUAGCCGGCCUUCCACCAAGCUCUUUAUGUAGGGGACGCCUAUGUCUGUGCUUCAUUGGUGUCACCUCACAAGGCUCUGAGCUGGCAGGAAAUUGAGGUCUCAAGGGGAAAAGCCACCUGCCCCCAGUGACAGCCAGGAAGUGCAAGACUCUGACCCAACCCCCAUGCCUGCCAUCCCCAAACAUUGGCUCAAAACCCCUUCCCAGGGACGGCUGUGUCCACCCCUCAGCAGGAGGAGGAGACCCCACAGCACCAGGUGAGAGGUCAGCGCUGAAACCAGGGAGGCAGUUCUCAGGAGGGCACCUGUGUGGAGCCAGGCAAACCAGGGCCACACUUGCAGGGUGAAGUGGGGAACCCAGAAGCCUGGGCAGUGAAGCAAAAUGCUUGGUGCCCUGUGGGAACGGGUAGCCAAGGCGACAUUGGGAUGAAGGGAGCCGUGGAGCUGCAGGAAUUGUGGGUGGCCCUCAGUGGCAGGCAGCCAGGCCAACAGGGGCUUUGGGCUGCAGGUCAGCCCCUCUCCUGCUCUCGAACUUUUGGAGGGCCAUUACAAAGGGCAUCAGCCCCAAGGUACUCCUCUGGAAUUCUGCCUGAAAGGCCCUUCACAUUCCCUAAUUGGCACUUACAACAUUCCAGAACAUUCUAUGGUACCUUAAGUUUCUCCUCCCCCUCCAAGGGGCCCUUGAACCUUAAGGACAGGGCAGAAGGGGCUCCUCACCCUGGCCUCAAGGGCUUAGGAUCCAGCUGGGGACUCCUAGCCUCCCUGUGUGCUGGGCAGGAAAGUACCUCCUUGUCACUGCUGUCCCCGGGAAAAAAGGUUGAGGAAGGGCUCAGAGCCAGCCUUCAGACCAGGCAGGCCUCCUGGAUGUGCUUACUAACUCUGGGCUAGCUGUUCACUGAGCUGGCUGGGAGUUCCCCUCUGCACCCCCAUUUCUUCCCCUGUAAGGUGGGAAUAAUAGUGCAUGCCUCUAGGAUUAAGUGAACCAGUCGUUCAUGGGCGGAGAACCAGGUUUGGCAUAUUGUAGCUGCUCGGUGGACGUUAGCGGUUAUGAUUGGACAACAAUGUGCUUCCGUUUCAAUUCUAUGGGCAUUUUGGAGGUCCUGCUGGAUGCUAAGCACCGAAACCUCAACCCGGAACAUUACCAGAACAACCUGAGCAACAGCAGGACCAGCGAUGGCUCUCCCUGCUGGAGGAUUCCGGAAGUCACCUGGCUGGACCAAGCCCCCUCCGUGUUCUCUGUCAGCCCACUCCCCACAGCAGCUAGGCCUGGUGUGCACAAGCAGACUAAUAAAGGUUUGAGGACAAAAA